rnacentral:hammerhead_ribozyme from 1 species
AUCCAGUUGACGAGUCCCAAAUAGGACGAAACACGCGUUAUCCUGGAU